UGGGGAAUAUUGCACAAUGGGCGAAAGCCUGAUGCAGCAACGCCGCGUGAGUGAUGACGGUCUUCGGAUUGUAAAGCUCUGUCUUCAGGGACGAUAAUGACGGUACCUGAGGAGGAAGCCACGGCUAACUACGUGCCAGCAGCCGCGGUAAUACGUAGGUGGCAAGCGUUGUCCGGAUUUACUGGGCGUAAAGGGAGCGUAGGCGGAUGUUUAAGUGGGAUGUGAAUACCCGGGCUCAACUUGGGUGCUGCAUUCCAAACUGGAUAUCUAGAGUGCAGGAGAGGAAAGGAGAAUUCCUAGUGUAGCGGUGAAAUGCGUAGAGAUUAGGA
rnacentral:rRNA from 1 species